GAUGAAGAGCGCAGCGAAAUGCGAUAAGUAAUGUGGAUUGCAGAAUUCAGUGAAUCAUCGAAUCUUUGAACGCACAUUGCGCCCCUUGGUAUUCCGAGGGGCAUGCCUGUUCGAGCGUCAUUAUAACCCUCAAGCUCAGCUUGGUGUUGGGGCCUGCUGCACUGGCAGCCCUUAAAAUCAGUGGCGGCGCCAUCUGGCUCUAAGCGUAGUAAUUCUUCUCGCUAUGGAGUCCUGGUGGAUGCUUGCCAUCAACCCCCAAUUUUUCUAUGGUUGACCUCGGAUCAGGUAGGGAUACCCGCUGAACUUAAGCAUAUCAAUAAGCGGAGGA
rnacentral:misc_RNA from 1 species